rnacentral:tRNA from 1 species
GGUUCUGUAGCUCAGUUGGUCAGAGCAUUGCACUUUUAAUGCAAAGGUCGAAGGUUCAAGUCCUUUCAGUUCCA